rnacentral:rRNA from 1 species
CCCUUAGAUGUUCUGGGCCGCACGCGCGCUACACUGAUGCGUUCAACAAGUUUCCUUGGCCGAGAGGCCUGGGCAAUCUUCUUAAUAUGUAUCGUGAUAGGGAUAGAUUAUUGCAAUUAUUAAUCUUGAACGAGGAAUUCCUAGUAAACGCAGAUCAUCAAUCUGCAUUGAUUACGUCCCUGCCCUUUGUACACACCGCCCGUCGCUACUACUGAUUGGGUGUUCAAGUGAGAUGCUUAGACCCUUGUUGCAUGGUUCAUUAUUGUGCUCCGAAAGGAAAAAGUUUCAAGCUUGAGUGUCUAGAGGAAGUAAAAGUCGUAACA